rnacentral:rRNA from 1 species
CUCUUUAAGACAACUAUUUAAAGUACAGCCUGCUCCAUGAUCACUAAAUAGCCGCAGUUAAACUGUGCUAAGGUAGCAUAAUCAUUAGUUCUAUAAUUAAGGACCAGAAUGAAUGGCUAAACGAGGUGAUUACUGUCUCAUUAGGAAACCUCGAAAAUAGCACAGGGGUUAAAACCCCCCUACAAAACAAAUAGACGACAAGACCCUAACAAACUUACCAUUUAGCUGGGGCGGCACAAUAAAAAAACCUUAUACCCACACUCACAAAACCCAAAACUCAGACAACGACUAGUUACUAUAGGGAUAACAGCGCAACCUUCCCUAAGAGCUCACAUCAAAAGGAAGACCUACGACCUCGAUGUUGAAUUAACUUUACUAUCAAUAAUAAAUGAAGCAAAAAUCUUAUUAAGUUGGUCUGUUCGACCAUUAAAAAGUU